rnacentral:rRNA from 1 species
AUUGAACGCUGGCGGCAUGCUUUACACACGCAAGUCGAACGGUAACAGGCCGCAAGGUGCUGACGAGUGGCGAACGGGUGAGUAAUGCAUCGGAACGUGCCCAGUCGUGGGGGAUAACGCAGCGAAAGCUGUGCUAAUACCGCAUACGAUCUAUGGAUGAAAGCGGGGGACCGUAAGGCCUCGCGCGAUUGGAGCGGCCGAUGUCAGAUUAGGUAGUUGGUGGGGUAAAGGCCUACCAAGCCGACGAUCUGUAGCUGGUCUGAGAGGACGACCAGCCACGCUGGGACUGAGACACGGCCCAGACUCCUACGGGAGGCAGCAGUGGGGAAUUUUGGACAAUGGGCGCAAGCCUGAUCCAGCAAUGCCGCGUGCAGGAAGAAGGCCUUCGGGUUGUAAACUGCUUUUGUACGGAACGAAACGGUCUGGGUUAAUACCCUGGGCUAAUGACGGUACCGUAAGAAUAAGCACCGGCUAACUACGUGCCAGCAGCCGCCGUAAUAC